GACGAACGCUGUUGGCGUGCUUAACACAUGCAAGUCGAACGGAAAGGCCCUGCUUUUGUGGGGUGCUCGAGUGGCGAACGGGUGAGUAACACGUGAGUAACCUGCCCUUGACUUUGGGAUAACUUCAGGAAACUGGGGCUAAUACCGGAUAGGAGCUCCUGCUGCAUGGUGGGGGUUGGAAAGUUUCGGCGGUUGGGGAUGGACUCGCGGCUUAUCAGCUUGUUGGUGGGGUAGUGGCUUACCAAGGCUUUGACGGGUAGCCGGCCUGAGAGGGUGACCGGCCACAUUGGGACUGAGAUACGGCCCAGACUCCUACGGGAGGCAGCAGUGGGGAAUAUUGCACAAUGGGCGGAAGCCUGAUGCAGCAACGCCGCGUGCGGGAUGACGGCCUUCGGGUUGUAAACCGCUUUCGCCUGUGACGAAGCGUGAGUGACGGUAAUGGGUAAAGAAGCACCGGCUAACUACGUGCCAGCAGCCGCGGUGAUACGUAGGGUGCGAGCGUUGUCCGGAUUUAUUGGGCGUAAAGGGCUCGUAGGUGGUUGAUCGCGUCGGAAGUGUAAUCUUGGGGCUUAACCCUGAGCGUGCUUUCGAUACGGGUUGACUUGAGGAAGGUAGGGGAGAAUGGAAUUCCUGGUGGAGCGGUGGAAUGCGCAGAUAUCAGGAGGAACACCAGUGGCGAAGGCGGUUCUCUGGGCCUUUCCUGACGCUGAGGAGCGAAAGCGUGGGGAGCGAACAGGCUUAGAUACCCUGGUAGUCCGCGCUGUAAACGGUGGGUACUAGGUGUGGGGUCCAUUCCACGGGUUCCGUGCCGUAGCUAACGCUUUAAGUACCCCGCCUGGGGAGUACGGCCGCAAGGCUAAAACUCAAAGGAAUUGACGGGGCCCCGCACAAGCGGCGGAGCAUGCGGAUUAAUUCGAUGCAACGCGUAGAACCUUACCUGGGUUUGACAUGGAUCGGGAGCGCUCAGAGAUGGGUGUGCCUCUUUUGGGGUCGGUUCACAGGUGGUGCAUGGCUGUCGUCAGCUCGUGUCGUGAGAUGUUGGGUUAAGUCCCGCAACGAGCGCAACCCUUGUUCACUGUUGCCAGCACGUUAUGGUGGGGACUCAGUGGAGACCGCCGGGGUCAACUCGGAGGAAGGUGGGGAUGACGUCAAGUCAUCAUGCCCCUUAUGUCCAGGGCUUCACGCAUGCUACAAUGGCUGGUACAGAGAGUGGCGAGCCUGUGAGGGUGAGCGAAUCUCGGAAAGCCGGUCUCAGUUCGGAUUGGGGUCUGCAACUCGACCUCAUGAAGUCGGAGUCGCUAGUAAUCGCAGAUCAGCAACGCUGCGGUGAAUACGUUCCCGGGGCU
rnacentral:rRNA from 1 species